rnacentral:rRNA from 1 species
GACGAACGCUGGCGGCGUGCUUAACACAUGCCAGUCGAACGGAAAGGCCUCUUUCGGGGGGUACUCGAGUGGCGAACGGGUGAGUAACACGUGAGUAACCUGCCCUUGACUUUGGGAUAACUUCAGGAAACUGGGGCUAAUACCGGAUAGGAGCUCCUGCUGCAUGGUGGGGGUUGGAAAGUUUCGGCGGUUGGGGAUGGACUCGCGGCUUAUCAGCUUGUUGGUGGGGUAGUGGCUUACCAAGGCUUUGACGGGUAGCCGGCCUGAGAGGGUGACCGGCCACAUUGGGACUGGGAUACGGCCCAGGCUCCUACGGGAGGCAGCAGUGGGGAAGAUUGCACAAUGGGUGGGAGCCUGAUGCAGCAACGCCGUGGGCGGGAGGACGGCCUUCGGGUUGGAAACCGCUUUCGCUCAUGACGAAGCUUUGUGUGACGGUAGUGGGUAAAGAAGCACCGGCUAACUACGUG